rnacentral:rRNA from 1 species
UAACGAACCUUCGGGUUAGUGGCGGACGGGUGAGUAACGCGUGAGAAUCUGCCCUCAGGAGGGGGACAACAGCUGGAAACGGCUGCUAAUACCCCAUAUGCCGCGAGGUGAAAUGAAUUUCGCCUGAGGAUGAGCUCGCGUCUGAUUAGCUAGUUGGUGUAGGUAAUGGCUCACCAAGGCAUCGAUCAGUAGCUGGUCUGAGAGGAUGAUCAGCCACACUGGGACUGAGACACGGCCCAGACUCCUACGGGAGGCAGCAGUGGGGAAUUUUCCGCAAUGGGCGAAAGCCUGACGGAGCAACGCCGCGUGAGGGAUGAAGGCCUCUGGGCUGUAAACCUCUUUUAUCAAGGAAGAAGAUCUGACGGUACUUGAUGAAUAAGCCACGGCUAAUUCCGUGCCAGCAGCCGCGGUAAUACGGGAGUGGCAAGCGUUAUCCGGAAUUAUUGGGCGUAAAGCGUCCGCAGGCGGCCCUUCAAGUCUGCUGUUAAAAAGUGGAGCUUAACUCCAUCAUGGCAGUGGAAACUGUUGGGCUUGAGUGUGGUAGGG